UUCAGUGUUUCUCCUGAAUGCAAAUUCUUCACUGACGCAGUGGAACGGCGUGGUACAACGUCCGUGCUCGAAGGGGAUGGGCAGCAGCAACCUCUGAGCUGGCUUUGCACAUUGAAGGAACGAGAGUCUGGCAACUGUGCACCUGGUUUCAGAAGAGUUUGCUCUUCCAGUCCUACUCUUGAGAUGGGUAUGAGCUCACAUGCAUUGUCUUACACUCCCAGUGUUUGCUUUGGAGAGUCAGCUCUGAAAUGAAGUACGUCUUCGGACCUGCUUUCCUGAUGCCUCUGUGAGUCAGUGCUCACUCCCCGAUAAAGAGUUGUAGAGGAGGAUCUGCUCACUGCUUUAUCUCCAUGGGACUCCUCGGGCCUGAUGGAGGUGGAACAUCUUUGUGAAGCUUUGGAAAGUCAUGAAGGUGAGACAGUACUUGAU